AAUAGAAAGAAACGACUAAAACAAAAAAGUCGAAUGACAACCAAAUAAAUGAACUAAAAAAAAAAAAAAAAAUCAUAAAUGAAACUCUAAUCAGACAAGGAAUCUAGCCACAUGAAUCGACAGUCUUCUUGUCCAAGGAUCUGAAGCAGCAAGUUCUCAAGAAUCCCGGUUUUCCAGUUUGAUAGCUUUGUGUGUCUUUCCAGAAACUCCUUCGAACCACGUCAUUGAUCAUCUACUUGCUGAAAGCCCUAACCUUCGUUUGUCAAAUACCACAGAUUGUUCUACAUAAUCAGUAACUGCAUUUCUCAGCGUCACCUUCAACCUCCACCACUGAAAGACCCACGGACAAUCCCAAUUCCACUGCCUUCAUACACUCCACAGCUUUGGCCGCAAAGGAAGUCGUAAGCUACAUCACAAUUAAUCUUUGUAGUCUGCGCAUCGAAGCCUUCCACUUUGUAUCUUCUAUGGAAUUGGUUCCUGUCAGUCCAAAUUGCGCAAAGUGCACAUCCAAAAACUCUGCCAAGCUGAUUGGAAUGGUUGUAAAAGAAUUGGGCCAUCCAAUCCUUGAUGUUUGAAUUAGGUAUCCAACAAUCAUUUCAAAUCGAAAUGCCUGUUCCAUUUCCUACCUGCCAUCGUAGCCCCUGUUCCAUUUCCUACCUGCCAUCGUAGCCCCGAAGCCAACAGACCCUUUGUAGCCCAUAUACUUUGUCACGUAUACAAAAGAAUAACUGUCAGUGGCUGUGGACACAUCAAAGCAUCGCAAAUGGAAUCUGCCUAUGGCUGUGGAUACACAACAAAAUAAUGCAAGUAAAAUUUGUCACUGGCUAUGGAUGCACAACAUGUUUGCAGGCAAUAACUGUCACUAGGUUGUGGAUGAACAACAAAAACAUCAUAGAUAGGAUCUACCUAUGGUUGUGGGUACACAACAAGACCGUCGUAGAUGAAAUAUGCUUAUGGCUAUGGGUACUGUAACAGCCCGAUUUUGGGCUUAGUCGGAACAAUAGUUUUGGGACUACAAAUUCGAUGGUUGAGAAAUUAUUUUUAAUAUUAUUUUGGUGUUAUAGUAUGAUUAUAUGGGUACAUGAAAA